rnacentral:lncRNA from 1 species
GCCCGAGAGAACGUGUCUGAGCAGGCUUUGUACUCAGGGAAGCAGAGUGGUGGAAAGGUGUCAGCCUCACAAAGUGGCUACUUGGGCACAACCUAGAGUCUUCUUAGAGCCUCAGCUAUCCAGGUACAUGACGUGGUCAAGUGACCUCAGUCUCCUCAUCCAAACAAUGGCACAACAGAGCUGGUCUUGCAAAUGGUGGCACGGGCACUGGGAAGCACCCACUUGCCUUUGCCACCCACGUCUCACUUCUUCCCUAAUCUCGGGGGCCACCCCUUCAAUGUUGGGGCGCUUGUGUCCUCACACAUGGGUGUGGAGCCUUUCCUAAUCAAGUGCUCCUGGAGCAUCAGCAUGGAUGGACUCAUUCCCCACGUUCUCAGAGUCUGUUCACUUGAUGUUUAUGACAAGCAUGGGUCUCUCACUGAACCCGGAGCACACCAACAGGCUGGACUGACAGCCAGGGAGUUCCUCCUAUCUCUGCCUCUGGGAUUACAAGUGUGCAUCUGCAGUGAUCUUGGUCGCUUACCUGGAUGUGAACACACCUCUGCCUGGCUUUUUAUAUGGGUUCUGGUGAUCCGAACUCAGGUCCUCCUGUUGGUGCAGCAAACUCUUUUACAGACUGAACCAUCUCCCCAGUUCCCAGCCAAGGCUCGUUAAUCUAGACUGUGCACCACAUCACCCCAGGGUGAAAUGCAAUUCCGAUUCACAGGUCUAGGAUAGAGCUGGAAAGGCUGCAUCUCGACAGCUGCAGAGGAAAGACUGCCGCUUCCGGCCCUUGAAAUCCCAGAACGGCAUGACUCCGAGCUGUUGGAAACGAAGCCUCUCUCUGGUAGCAUUCUAGGGCUUGUGGUGUUAAAACAAUAUGGGUUUCAUAACUAAGAUGCUAUGUGAAGAUAGGGUCUGAAAUAACGGCUGUGAUUUUUUAUUACA